CUGAGAGGAAUGCCCCCACUAUUUGCUAUCCCAGAUGCUAAGGUUGUGGGAGCUUGUUUUUAUGACAGAUUCCAUUGUGGGGUUUUGGAAAGAUAUACCUGUCCUGCUGCCACCCAGUGCAGAGCACAAUGAUUAGUUGAAGAUGGAAGUUGAUGUGAGUAGAUCAAAGCUCAG
rnacentral:lncRNA from 1 species